AUGUCAGAAUUACAACCUGAGGUUACAGCACUGUGACACUUUCAAGCUCUUCAAGGUUUGUCAAGCACAGUUAAUUAUAUUUACUAGAAGUCUCUCACCUCUCAUACUCAUGCACCUUAAUCAUACACACAGUGGAAAUCUAUAAAGACCUUAGAAUAAAAGGAGCGCGUUUAAACACUGCCUUUAGAACACAAAGAUGUAUCUGUGAUUUUGAAAAUAAGUUCAUACACAUUCACUUUUACUAUUGGUGUCAAAGUCCCUACGUGUUACAGGUUGAAUUGCGUCCACCUAAAGACAUUGACAUUCCAGCCCACCGAUAUCUAUGAGUGUGACCUUUUCUUGAAAUAAGGUCUUUGCACAUGAUCAAGUUAAGAUGAAGUCACUAGGGUGGGCCCUAAUCGAACAUGACUGCAUCUUUGUAAAAAAAGAGGAAAACUUGGACACUAAAAUACAUGCACGCAGAAAGAACGCCAGGUGAAGACAAGAUUGGACUGACGUAUCUACAUAUCAAGGAGUGACACAGAUUCCCAGCAAACCACCAAAACUGAGAGAAAGGCAUGGAACUAAUUCUACCACACAGCUCUCAGAAGUAAGCAACCCUGCUGACACUGAUUUCAGACAUCUAUCCUCCAGAACUCUCAGACAGUCAAUUGUUUAAGCCACCCAGUUGUGGUGCUUUGUUAUGGCAGCCCUAGAAAAUGAGCACAUUAGCAAUGAAAAAAUGAAAUCUGGCCAUUUGCAGCAACGUGGAUGGAACUGGAAGGUAUUAUGCUAAGUGAAAUAAGUCAGUCAGAGAAAGACAGAUACCAUAUGUUUUCACCCAUAGGUGGAUCUUAAGAAACUUUACAGAAGACCAUGGGGAGGAAAAAAAGUUACAGAGAAGGAGGGAGGCAAACCAUAAAAGACUCUUGGAUACUGAAAACAAACUGAGGGUUGAUGGGGGGUGGGGGAGAGGGGAAGGUGGG
rnacentral:lncRNA from 1 species